rnacentral:rRNA from 1 species
AUUGAACGCUGGCGGAAUGCUUUACACAUGCAAGUCGAACGGCAGCACGGGGGCAGCCCUGGUGGCGAGUGGCGAACGGGUGAGUAAUACAUCGGAACGUGCCCGGUCGUGGGGGAUAACGUAGCGAAAGUUACGCUAGUACCGCAUACGAUCUGAGGAUGAAAGCGGGGGACCUUCGGGCCUCGCGCGAUCGGAGCGGCCGAUGUCAGAUUAGGUAGUUGGUGGGGUAAAGGCCUACCAAGCCGACGAUCUGUAGCUGGUCUGAGAGGACGACCAGCCACACUGGGACUGAGACACGGCCCAGACUCCUACGGGAGGCAGCAGUGGGGAAUUUUGGACAAUGGGCGCAAGCCUGAUCCAGCCAUUCCGCGUGCAGGACGAAGGCCUUCGGGUUGUAAACUGCUUUUGUACGGAACGAAAAGGCUCUGGCUAAUACCUGGGGCUCAUGACGGUACCGUAAGAAUAAGCACCGGCUAACUACGUG